rnacentral:rRNA from 1 species
GUGGGGAAUAUUGGACAAUGGGCGAAAGCCUGAUCCAGCCAUGUCGCGUGUGUGAAGAAGGUCUUCGGAUUGUAAAGCACUUUAAGUUGGGAGGAAGGGCAGUAAGUUAAUACCUUGCUGUUUUGACGUUACCGACAGAAUAAGCACCGGCUAACUUCGUGCCAGCAGCCGCGGUAAUACGAAGGGUGCAAGCGUUAAUCGGAAUUAAUGGGCGUAAAGCGCGCGUAGGUGGUUCAGUAAGUUGGAAGUGAAAUCCCCGGGCUCAACCUGGGAACUGCUUUCAAAACUGCUGAGCUAGAGUACGGUAGAGGGUGGUGGAAUUUCCUGUGUAGCGGUGAAAUGCGUAGAUAUAGGAAGGAACACCAGUGGCGAAGGCGACCACCUGGACUGAUACUGACACUGAGGUGCGAAAGCGUGGGGAGCAAACAGGAUUAGAAACCCUGGUAGUCC